GUCCACGCCCUAAACGAUGAUUACUGGACAUUUGCGAUAUACAGUGAGUGUCUGAGCGAAAGCAUUAAGUAAUCCACCUGGGAAGUACGUCCGCAAGGAUGAAACUCAAAGGAAUUGACGGGGGGUCCGCACAAGCGGUGGAGUAUGUGGUUUAAUUCGAUGAUACGCGAGGAACCUUACCUGGGCUAGAAUGCGCGUGACCGGUUCUGAAAGGAACUUUUCUAGCAAUAGACACAAAGCAAGGUGCUGCAUGGCUGUCGU
rnacentral:rRNA from 1 species